rnacentral:tRNA from 1 species
GGCUUCUUCUUUCAAUGGUUAGGAAACUUGCUUUGUAACCAAGUAAUGUCAGUUCGAUUCUGACAGAAGCCU